rnacentral:lncRNA from 1 species
ACUUUGUAAGAGCUUUUCAAAGUCAAGGUUUGUUUCAGAUGACUUGGAUUUUGUGAAAUAAAAUAGUAUUUAUGUUUUGAAUAAUUUCAAGAGUUUUGUAAUAGAUCUAUGGAUGAAAUUUUGUAUAUAAAUGGUUAUAGUUGUAUUAAAUAUGUUUUGUGAAUUUAAACUUGAUCGAUGAGUUGGAUUGAGGAUUAUUGAGGUUUAAGU